AUCACUUCUCAACCUUUUGGCUAAGAACAAGUGUAGUAUCUGUUCUUAUCAGUUUAAUAUCUAUCUACCUACCUACCUACCUACCUAUCAUCAGAUAUAAAAGCGGAGAAGGUAAUGGCUUACUUGGUGCCAUUAUAGGAACAACAGAUGUCUUGGACUGCUUCUUUGAUUAGGCCUA
ensembl:snRNA RNU2-41P RNA, U2 small nuclear 41, pseudogene